AGGGGCAUAGCUCAGUUGGUAGAGCACUGGUCUCCAAAACCAGGUGUCGUAGGUUCAAGUCCUGCUGCCCCUG
rnacentral:tRNA from 1 species